GUUCUUGUGGGCUCGUUGAGAUAUGAGUCAGACCUAUGAUUUGUAAUCAGGGGGUCACGGGUUCGAAUCCUGUCGGGGGCACCA
rnacentral:tRNA from 1 species